CAGCAGUGCAACCGUGCUGUUCUACGUCCCUUUCCGCCCACCUUUUGUUCUCGACUUUUGGGGAUUUCUCCUAAACCCUCCAAGGUUCCUUAUCGGUGGGGCUCUAAAGGGUUGAGAGGAGCGUUGGUUCGUGAAAGGCUCUUUUGUAAUUAUAGUCUUGUUACUUUUGAACGUUGCGUUUUUAAUGUUACGGCUUUUUGGAGAAUGAUAGGAAUACCCGUCCUUAAAUCUAGAAAAAUCUAAAUUAGUAGGUUGUUAUUUAUCUUCUCAGUAGCGGAAUUGUAAACGCUGGCAGCAAGGCUGCCGUGUUGUUUCCCUUUACCUGCAACAACAGCAACGGCAGCAAGGGUGCUGCGUUGUUUCUCUCGACCGACAGCAACAGCAACGGCAGCAAGGCUGCUGUGUUUUCUUCUCGUGACCUGCAGCAACAGCAGCGAGCAGCAAGGCUGCUGCGCUUUCGAGUUCGCCCAAACAGCAGGCAGCAAGAUAGUGACUCGGCUGUGCUGUGUUGUGCGUUUUCUGCACCCCCUCGACCAAACGGCAGCAGGUGCUGUGUUUCUUGCUUUCUCUCUCGACCAAACAGCAGCUACAACGCGCUGCUGUGUCGCACCCUUCACAAAAUCGAACACCAGCAGCCGGAACUGUUUUUCUCGACCAGCGACAGCAGCAGCAGCAGGGAAGGAAGCUGUUGCGUGCUUUUCUGCCGGAACCGAACAGCGCACAGCAGGCAACAGCCUCGCUGUGCUGUUUCUUCACGACCUGCCGCCUGAACCAGCAGCUUGUCGAGUUGUUUCCUUCGCCAUCUUCGUCCAAGCAGCGGCUGUCGUUGUACUCCUCAACCAAGAAACAGCAGCUGUCCUAAGCCGGAUUCUUUUGAAUCCUUCUAUGUUCUCUUAGCGGCGGGGUACCGAAGGGUUGAGAAGCUUGUUGUUGUGAAAGCUUUCUUUGCUUAUUUUGUUGUAGUUGUAGCCCCUCGUAUUUCGAGCGAUUGCAGAUUUUUGGUUGAUUCGUAUUUUUGUCGAUGAGGAUAGAAACACCCGUUUUAAUCUGAGCUUAGAACCGUUUAGAUUAAUAGGUUGUUUUUUUUUUUGUUAUCGCCUCUUCGUUACCUUGUAAUCGUUGUACGUUUCCCCUUUGUUGGGCGAUUUCCCUUAUUGAAGCAAACUCCCCGUUAAG